UCAAUCAGUCUGUAUAUUGUACUCAUUCUCCGAAAUAGAAGGUGCGAGAUUUCAGCAGUCAAUCAAUAUAUGAUUUGUCUUCUCACACUAAACACAUUUCACACAUUUCCACUCUCUUUCCAAUUCAAUCAAACUUCCUACGAAAAUCCUCCAAAAACACCUUCUCAAUUCGAAACCCCAAGCCCAAUCCCAUCGCUUUCCACAUUUCCGGCAACCCAAAAAUUCGCAUUUUUGUGAAUAGAGCGUGAAUCUCUUCCAACUACCAAUUCAUUUAAUGGCUUAUAGGCGAGCAAUUUCGAACAACCCAACGCCUGACGACGUUGAAACAAUGAAAAUGUUAACAAGCGACGGAAAGGAAAGAAUUCUGCUGAUGAGGGCUUGAGGGUCACCCGUAUGCCGAUGGGAUUACAGAUUGUAUCGGCAAAGAUAGAAUGCAACUUCUUGACGCUGAUGUCGAGAAUGAAUAGUGUCUACAAACAAAAAUAGCAUGUAGUAUACUAUAUUGCAUUCCUAAUAGUAUAUAUUGCAUACCUGAACCAAAUAUUGCAUGAAUUACAUAUACAUGCAGUGUAUAAUAUAGUACUAUUCUGUACGGAAAAGGUUGCAUUUUUUCAA